rnacentral:lncRNA from 1 species
UUGGCUUUAUGCUCUGCUAAAUUUUCCUCUCAAUUGUUCCAUUGAAUCCAUCUUCCACUGUUGUUUUUGUUGAAUUUGUUUAUUAUUUGCCUGUUGAUACCGCAUCAAGGGUUUGGGCUAGAUUUAAUUGUCUUCUGAACAUGAUUUAAUUUAUUACCAAUGAAAAAAUAAGUUUUUUUUGCUAAAGAUAGUAUUUUUCUAAUGUUAUUAUUAGGGCAAACCACAAAAAUUUAGGAUCUUUAGACCAUAAUUACAGGGCGCAACAUAGGCUUCAAAAACAUUACACUUUCUGUUUGAAGAAGAAUUGGAAUAGAGAUAUUUUCUGCAACUGAAGAACACGAUACAAGAAAAAGGGGACGUGUAUCUUCAUAUACCUGUGUAUGUUAGGCGAUGUUAGAACGUUUGUCUAAUUCUGUAGUUUUUCCUCAUUAUAAUAUUAUAAUAUAUAUACGGAAGCAAAGAUCUUGCCUUUGGUUGGACUGUGACGUAUAUAUCCUGUUGGACGAUUUACAAUUAGGAAAGGGAGAGUUUUCAUUCAAUUAGGGCCAGGAUUAUCUGCUAAGAUUUUCUCAGUGUUUUACGGGCUGGAUUGUUUGAUUGAAUCCAUAUUUGAUCAUAGAUUUGCUUGAAUUGUUCUUAGAUUUUUGCUGCCUUCACUGGGUACAUUUUUUACACUGGUUUGUUACUUUUGAUUUGAGAGUUCCUACACGUUGAAUUUUAACCAGUAAUUGUAUACUACUCCCUCCUUUUUAGUUUGUUUGGCCUAAUUUCCUGUAGUAAUCUGUUUCAGAAAGAAUGGUACUUUCCUUUUUUUUAGGAACCCUUCGUUUCCAUAAGACCACUAGAUUAAAGAAAAUUUUGUUACAUUUGACGUAUCUUUAAUUUAGGACCAUAAGAUUCAAAAGUUUCUUUAUUUUCUUAAACUCUGAAAUAGGGAAAUAAUAAUUUUUAUAUGGUCCAGAUAUGUAUCGAGGGCCAAUAUUUUUUUUUUUUGUGUGUGUGUGAUAUCUAGUUGUUAAUGGCCGUUAUCUUGAGCUCACUAUUUUUUAGAAGUACCCAUGCACCGUGUUUAGUUACCUCUUGUGCUUUGAGGGUGGAAAGCUCGAACCACUUUAUAGGUGUUGUAGGUUAUUUAUUCUCGAGACUCCUCAUAAUUAAGCAUCAUGACAAGUAAGUCUUCCUAAAUUCAUGUGAUACCUUUGUACUCUUAAUGGUUAUGGUCUUUUUAAUUGUUGCAGAAUCCUGCGUGAAUAUGUGAAGUUGUUGAAUUAUUAAUCUAGGAUGAAAUUAACCCUAUAUCUAACUAGGAUUCAUAAAUUAUGAUGAUUUUAAAGAGUAAGGGGACAAUGAUAUUUUUCCUAAAGUUAUUCUCAAAAAAAUCUUUUCCCUAAAACUCCCCUUUCCUUCAUAACUCGACAGUGUAGUCGUUUUAUCUUCCUGACCCUUCAGCCAAGCUGCCUUGUCUUGUAUGUUCACUGCAUUGAUGUUUGAUAGCUGUUCCUACUCCCCAAGCCUCCUUCCUUUCAAACUCAGGAAGUAUAGCUGGUUUCCCUCUAUUUUGAGUUCCCAUCUUGGGUAUUUGAAUAUCUAAAUCUUUUAGGCUCACUUGCCUCUUAGUUUGAGUGGUAACUCUUUUUUGAAAAAAAUAAUUUAAAAUAAACUAAAUACCAACUGUUUGGCUUUGAGUUUUCCUACAAAGCCUUAGAGAACAACAAUGCUGGAUCUUUGCCCAGUGUAUUAGGUUUGAGCCCAACUUUUGGACAAUGAGUACCCUUUGUGGGGGCUCCUGGCAUAAUGAAGCUAGUGACCUGGAUUCUUGGCAAAGGUGGGCAACAGGGCCAGCCAAGCAUGCAUUUAGUUAAAAGAUCAAAAAGAAGGUCGAUAUUGCACAUUGCUCAUUAGUUCUUGGUCAUUUAUAGAAUUCUUGCCUGCACUCAUUUUGUCAUUAUGAUGGCAGUACUGAAUCGUGUUGCUCUACAGCUGAAGACUGUAUCAAAGCCGAUAGCUUCUGGGUUGAACCCCAAAUUCCAACGAUUCAUCUCAGAAACGGCUCUGGUAAGUGAAACUUUAUGCUUGUUAAGCUGGUUUUGCUACUCAUACAUUUAUAGUUGAAUGUCAUGACAAUAAGCCUAGCCAUGAUCAGGUGCUAUUCCCAUGUUCUUAUGCCCUUGUUUAUUUUGUAGGUCUUGGAUAUUAGGGUUUAUAGCUUUUCUUUCGUAGAGAAAGAUUGAAACUUUAUACUUGUUAAGCUGUUUUGCUACUCAUACAUUUAUAGUCGAAUGUCAUGAAUUCCAAAUGUAGUUGGUUAAUGCAGUUUUGAGUUCAAAUCCUUAAUGCUUUGAAUGUUAUACUAGCCAUGAUCAGCCGAUCAGGUGCUCUUUCCAUAUUCUUAUGCCCUUAUGUAGUUUGUUGGUGUUAGAUAUCAAGGUCUAUAGCUUUUUUGUGGAGAACGAUUGAAACUUUAUACUUGUUAAGCUGGGUUUUGCUACUGAUACAUUUAUAGUUGAAUGUCAUGAAUUCUAAAUGCAGUUGGUUAAUGUAGUUUUGAGUUCAAAUCCUUAAUGUUUGAAUGUUAUACUAUUUUUACCUUAGGCGAGUAGCAGUUGAGAAUAACUAAGUCCAGUAUAUAUCUACUCUGGUGUCUUCCCCUCUAUUUUUGGCUAGGUUUCUUUGACCAAAAUUUAUCUUUAAGUAGAACUUAUGUGGGUUAAGGUUCUUGGUUAGAUUAUCAAGCACACUUUUUCUUGUUGCCACAACCAAAGGGAAAAUGAGAUUAGCAGGGGAAAUGAAUCUGAAAGUCUUAGUUUUUUGAUGAUCUGCCAAGUUUACUCUUAGUUUUUUCAUGACUCUCUUUCUCCAAUGACCAAUACAAUUUGAAUGCUAGGAGCGGUAAGAUUAGGAAUGAGGAUAUCCCGAGGAUUCGGGGAAGGUCGGAGUGGCCUCCGUGAAGAAGUAUUGGGGAGAGGUAAUUAGACAGGACAUGACCUAACUUCAGCUUACCAAGGACAUGAACUUAGAUAGGAGGAUAUGGAGGUUCCGGAUUAGGGUAGAAGGUUAGGGGUGGUUGAGCAUUGUCUUGCCUUUCGACGAGAUGAGGCUGGGUGGUAGUUUCUUCAUGGGAGGCCUGUUUGAACAUGCAUGCCUUAAUUGCUUGUUGAACUAGGAAUACAAUUCUUGCAUGCAUUUGUGAUCAGGAGAUGAGUAAUAGCAAAAUGACUUUUUCUUCAAUUUAGUAUCGUGGGAGUUGGGACCCACAAAUGAGUUGUCUGUUGUUGGAUUCUUCUUAUCUGGUUUUGAAAAGCAUGCUAAUGCUACCAGAGGUUUUACUCUUGUAGUUUUGUCGGCUUUCGAGUUAUGCAACGGAAUAUAAUCUUUUCAUUAAAUGUGGUGUUUUGGCUCUUUCGUAAUCGUUAAGAGUUACUGAUUUUCUUACUUUAUUUGUGUUAUUAUAACUAACAUUUUGUCGUAUUGGCCUAAGAUCCUUCCCGUGUUUUGUCGGGUUAUUGUUUCUGAAUAAAUGAUCAUUACGCAUAAGUGGACCUUUUUAUUUUUUAUUUUUUAUUUUUUUCGCCGUUGUCGUAUAUCCAUAUUUCUCGAAACAUACCAUAUGUGGCAUACUAGAGCUGCAUUAAGGAAUUUAAAAUGCAUUUUAACUAUCUUUUUCCUGAUCAAAACAAGGAAUUGAAAGCACAUAUCACAUGUUGCUUGAGCCUUAUUACUACAAAUGGUGAGUGUUAAUAAAUAAAUGAGGAUGGGGUUCUGAAGAUGGUUGGCGCAAAAAUCAUCUUGCCAUGUCCUUGUAAUUUGGUGAGGUGGGGGGGUUGCAGGAGAGGUCAAAUAAAGGUAGUCAAAGUUUGACCGUCCUUAAAGAAGUUUUGGGACACUGGGAGGGUGGAAAAGAAGCGCGAAAGAGACAUGGUAUUAAUGACAGGAAGUGUGAGAUUUGAGAUCUAUGGCUAAUGAUAUGAGAUCUUCAUGGAAUUUAAGCUGUUAACGUGCUUUUAUGAAAAGAUUUAACCAAAAACGUGCAAAUAUUUUACCAAUUCCACUCACCCCUUGCACAAAAAGUAAGUUUGCUAUCUUGGGACUAGAAUUGAUGAAGGGUUAGUGCUUUAUUUCAUUGAGUAACAUGUUAGUAUGUGACUAUGUAAUCAAAUGCUUUACGACCUUGGGAACGUGUUUUUUGGUGCCUGUAGUUUGUGAAUUUUCCACCCUGACAAAUUUUUUCCUUCCCACCACUCAAUUCAAAUUACAAAGCGACUUUUGUGCAUAGAACAAAAAGACAAAUGGAAAGAGGUAUUUGUGGACAAAGUAAUAUUAAUUGUCUAAGGUUUCUUUAAAACAGAUGCCAAACUUUAGCAAGCAUUUGCAGAAUUGGAAAUUGAGUAUUUGAUGGUGCUGUUGGGAAAGCGUUAGGGUCUGAUUCCUGAUGGAUGCUCCUGAAGGACUAGUAGUGGCUUUUACAGUGUGAAAUAUUUUAUGUGACUUUGGUAGAUAGCAGCAAGAGUUACUUAGGCUCAAGGAAGAUUCAAUUAAAAUCAGGGGGCAUUUUGGGCAAUCCUAGCUUGUGAUAACAUUGGAGGAUAUUAAUGCUGUACUAGAUUAAAUCGAUGCAAUGAUCAGUUGAGGGGUUAACAAUAUUUGUGAUUCUCUUUCUUCAAUUUUAAUUGUGUAAUCUGGUUUCAAAUAGUAGGAAAGGGUGCGCUGUUUUUAUUGGUGCCUUCAGUGUCUUGUAGUCUCUUGGUGAUGUCUCUGAUUUCGGAUAGCAAGCUUAUAAUACUACUUUGUGGGUGUCUUGUUUUCUUUAUUAUUUAGUGGUGUGUCACCCCUUGUUUGUUGUGUGCCUUUAUGUUUUUUGUUAUAUUUGUUAUCUGUCCGGAGUCGGGAAUCUAUCGGAAACAGCCUCUCUACUUCAUCUGGGGUAGUGGUAGACUGUGUACACUCUACCCUCCUCAGACCCCACUCUCUGGGGAUAUACUGGGUAUGUUGUUGUUGUUGUUAGGUAGUAUACGGUACUCUUGGUAGUUUUUAAAGCUGUUGUUCUCUAGCUGUGACUAUAAUAUUUUUAAUACAUCUUUGGAUCAGCAAUUCUACUCUUGAAUUAGAUAAGCAGUUCUACUCUCAAAUUAGAUAAGCAAACUAUUAACACUUUAUUCCUUUUCUUUUUUGGCGGUGAAAUUCAGAGACACCGAGGUGAAAUUAAUAUGGCCAAAGCUGGUUAUCUUGUCAAGGCAGUCAGUUCAUUGCUGCCCAAGUGCUUCUAUACGAUGGUAGGUUUUUUUUUUUUUUAUCAAUGAUUAUAGGAAGUCGUGGAAGCGUGAUGUCGAGUUGGAAGCUUUGAGAGAGGUACAUCAAAGAGAGGUUUGCUCGAGAUUGGCGUCGUUUCCCUUAUGCUAUUUUCCCAUGGGUUGUUUAUCCAAGCACAACAGCUAGCCUCCGUCCGGACCUGUGUUCCCUCUAUAUAAAAAGCACCCGGCUUAUCAGAGAGCACUACACUUGGGGCUCGUUUGGCACGAAGAUAAUUUAUGCAGGGAUUAUAGUACUAAAAUUAUUUUUUAUCAGUGUUUGGUUUAUUGUAUUAAAAAUUAGAUAUACCGUGUAUUAUGUUUGAUUUAAAAUACUACAAAAAUUUUCUUUACAAUUAUAUCCUUGUAUUUUAGUGAGAUUUUUUAUUUCAUUAAAUUAGUCGAGCUAAAAAUUUAAAUACAAAUAAAAAUUUAUUACUAGUUUUCAGAGUGUGAUAUAUGCCACUGUGGAAAUCCUUGAUAGCAAGGUGUACCAUUCAUAUUCUGUAUCUUUGUGUAUUUCCUUUCCAAAGCUCUCUUAUUUGUUUUUUAAAAUAAUUUUUUUAUAUACUCACUCAAAAUUUUUUAUAUUCUAUUAGUUGUUAGAAAUGUUAUUAUAUAUGUAUAAUCUUCCACCAGGGGGCUUUAAUAUUUUGGAAGUUGACAUACCUUACUUUGUAGACAGUGAGUCAAUUUCUAUAUGUAAGUUUAUUUUUUUUUUCUUUUUUAACAAUUUACCAAGUAUUAUUUACUGACAUUUUAGUGUACUGUCUUGCUUCGUCUUUUUUUUUUUUUUUUUUAAUCAAUUGAGUACUACUUUAUGUUAAUUCAGCUAUUAUUAGGUGCUUCUCAACUUCUUAAAAGGCUUAAUACAUAGUAAGCUUCUUAGUGUAGACGAGUACACUCAAUGUAUACAUCCAGUGAUUUUGUUUGGAUUUUUUCAAAAAUAAGUGAACCUAUGUCGAAUCUUUUAAAAUUGCACUAUUUUUAAGCAUUUGACAUGUAUCCGCAGACGUUUUUACAGAGUCCUUACUACAUAGGUUUUGAAAUAUGAGAGUAACCACUCA